rnacentral:rRNA from 1 species
UGGGGAAUAUUGGACAAUGGACCAAAAGUCUGAUCCAGCAAUUCUGUGUGCACGAUGACGUUUUUCGGAAUGUAAAGUGCUUUCAGUUGGGAAGAAAAAAAUGACGGUACCAACAGAAGAAGUGACGGCUAAAUACGUGCCAGCAGCCGCGGUAAUACGUAUGUCACAAGCGUUAUCCGGAUUUAUUGGGCGUAAAGCGCGUCUAGGUGGUUAUGUAAGUCUGAUGUGAAAAUGCAGGGCUCAACUCUGUAUUGCGUUGGAAACUGCAUGACUAGAGUACUGGAGAGGUAAGCGGAACUACAAGUGUAGAGGUGAAAUUCGUAGAUAUUUGUAGGAAUGCCGAUGGGGAAGCCAGCUUACUGGACAGAUACUGACGCUAAAGCGCGAAAGCGUGGGUAGCAAACGGGAUUAGAUACCCUGGUAGUCCACGCCGUAAACGAUGAUUACUAGGUGUUGGGGGUCGAACCUCAGCGCCCAAGCUAACGCGAUAAGUAAUCCGCCUGGGGAGUACGUACGCAAGUAUG